rnacentral:lncRNA from 1 species
CUUCUGGCACAGAACACUGGGGCCCAAAUCUAAGGUCUGCCAAGGCCGAAGCCACAGCAAACCAAACAUGCCCGUGCCAAUGCAUGCCCUCUUCAGGACCAUGUAUUCCUCCCAGCAGCUGUGAGGGCUUAAUGGAAAAUUGAAAUUUUCCUCAUUUUCUGCCUGCUAGUUCUCAGAGCAUAAGAUCUACAUAAAAAUGCUCACUUCAGAAAGGGAUGAUUUGAGAGCAAGAAGGAGGUCAUCUGAGUUGGAACCCCUUGACCACAAGUUGCAUACUUUAUCAACUAGUUGAACUGAAUUAUGUACUUGAGUAAGUAAAGGUCUCUAUCCUCAUAAGAAUAUAUCUGACAGUUUCAGUUUUACAGUUCUACCAAGCCCCUAACUAAUAAGAGUCUU